rnacentral:rRNA from 1 species
GACAUAGGUGGCGAGCGUUGUCCGGAGUUACUGGGCGUAAAGCGCACGCAGGCGGUCUGCUAAGUUUGGAGUGACAGUCGGUGGCUUAACUGCCAAAGUGCUUCGAAAACUGACAGACUUGAGGGCUUCAGAGGGACACGGAAUUCCGGGUGGAGUGGUGAAAUGCGUAGAGAUCCGGAGGAACACCAAAGGCGAAGGCAGUGUCCUGGGGGGUACCUGACGCUCAGGUGCGAAAGCCAGGGGAGCGAACGGG